UCUUUCAAGGUGAACACCACGCGGGGACUCGGCACCCACAGCCACCGAGCAAACACCGCCAGCGACGCGGCUCUCCCCGAGGGGCGAACAAACGCCACGCUCGGGGGGCAGCCGGCCCCCCACGGCCCCCCACGGCCCCCCGGCACCCACAGCCGGCCGCUGGGGGCUGCGACUGUCGCACGGCGGGGGCGCAGGGCUCGGAGACGGCCUCCAGAUCAAGAAAUCAGAAUAAAUAAGGCGAGGAGAAGGCCCGCCGCCCCCCGGCACAACAAAGGCCGCCGGAGCGGUCCGGCGCCGCCGCCGCCGAGCUCCCUUCAGGGCCCCGCAGGCCGGAGACCCCCGCGGGCAGGGAACGCGGCGACAAAAACGAAGGGAAAGGGGCCGGGGGCUGGGAGCGGAGGCCGAGGCCACCUGCGCCCCGGCAUCCCCAGGGAGCGGGCGGCCACCACGGCCUGCGGCCGGGCCGAAGGAGCGGGCAGGCGGCGGGGGGCCCGCGUAGGGGCCGGCGGCGGAGCAACAAAGCGGCGGGGCCCGGGCAGCGGCGGGCACUCACCGGGCGGCGACAGGCAGGGGGCUCCGGGGGGCCCGGCCCUGCCCGCCGGGGCGGGGGGGGGGGGCGGCGGGCGGCCCCUCCUCUCCUCUCCCCUCCCCAGCUGCCCUCACUCACGGAGCGGCACAGGGGGCCGCGGACCGGGCCCAGAGGGCGGCUCCCCCGCUGAGGCCCGGGCGGGCUCCGGCGGGAGGCACCGCUGCAGCGCGCUGCGGCCGGGGUCGUCGCGGCCCCAUCAAGGCCGGGCCGGGCGAGGCGGGGCGGGGCGGAGGGAGCGGGGCCGCUCCCCGUGGCGGCCGGUGGCCAUCUUAGUCCUCCUCCUUCUCCGCGGUACCGAGUGCCCCCUCCCCGCCAGGCUGCCAGCGCUGCCUCCUCCCUCCCGCCCUCCGCUCCUCCUCCUCCUGGCUGGCUGCGGCCGCUGCCGCUCCCGUGCUCGGGUUUGGUUUGGCCCGGCCGGCCCAGCAGAGGGGCUGGGUAAUGGCGGGCGGAGGGAGCGGCGCCUCACGGGGCUGCCCACCGCACCGCCCCGGCGCUGUCCCCGCUCUCUCUGGGCUGCAGCUGUUUUUCAAUGUAUUUGCGGACUAUUAGCUCGAUUUUUAGCAGCUUCGGGGGCCCGUGGAGUCAGGCGGCGAGUUACGUGCCUCCCCCUCCUCCUGGCAGACGCCCGCCGCCCCUUGUGCCCCUCUCCUCAGCGCUACCCCCGGCGCCCAGCAGCCUGA
rnacentral:lncRNA from 1 species